AACAAACGCUGGCGGCGUGCAUAACACAUGCAAGUCUAACGGGAAAGUCGGCUUCGGCUGGCAAGUACCGUGGCGAACGGGUGAGUAACACGUGGGUAAUCUAACCUCGAGUUUGGGAUAACCUUGCGAAAGCGGGGCUAAUACCGAAUAAGACCACGCUCUGUCCGCAGAGUGCGGUAAAAGGCGGCCUCUUCUUGAAAGCUGUCACUUGAGGCUGAGCCCGCGGCCUAUUAGCUAGUUGGUGGGGUAAUGGCCUACCAAGGCGACGAUGGGUAGCCGGCCUGAGAGGGUGUACGGCCACACUGGCACUGAGAUACUGGCCAGACUCCUACGGGAGGCAGCAGUGGGGAAUUUUGCGCAAUGGGGGAAACCCUGACGCAGCAACGCCGCGUGAGUGAUGAAGGCCUUCGGGUCGUAAAGCUCUUUUAGUGGGGAAGAAUCCCUUUCGGGCUAAUAUCCCGGGAGGAUGACGGUACCCACAGAAAAAGUUCCGGCUAACUACGUGCCAGCCGCCGCGGUAAUAC
rnacentral:rRNA from 1 species